rnacentral:rRNA from 1 species
CCUACGGGUGACAGCAGUGAGGAAUAUUGGUCAAUGGCCGGAAGGCUGAACCAGCCAUGCCGCGUGAAGGUCAGUGCCCUAUGGGCGUUAAACUUCUUUUGUGCGGGAGCAAUAAUGGUCACGUUUGGCCAGACGAUAGUACCGUACGAAUAAGCAUCGGCUAACUCCGUGCCAGCAGCCGCGGUUAUACGGGGGAUGCAAGCGUUAUCCGGAUUUUUUUGGGUUUAAGGGUGCGGAGGCUGUGAGGUAAGGCAGCGGUGAAAUGCCUCCGCUCAACGGGGGGAAGUGCCAUUGAUACUGGCUUGCUUGAAUGCGGAUGAGGUGGGAGGAAUGUGUGGUGUAGCGGUGAAAUGCAUAGAUAUCACACAGAACACCGAUUGCGAAGGCAUCUCACGAAUCCGCGAUUGACGCUGAUGCACGAAAGCGUGGGUAUCAAACAGGAUUAGAUACCCUAGUAGUC